rnacentral:lncRNA from 1 species
AUGAACCUGCAGCGUCUCCGUUUGCUGGUAACGAUGCAGAGCCACAUGUCCCUGCCCACCAUGAAAGAGCGACAGCCAUCACAGGAGGGCUCUGGGGACAAUGCUGAUGCUGGCGAGCAGGCACUGGCUGUUCCACAGCCUAUUCACCACAGGAAAACGUUACGGGGGAUGACACAGAUGCAGCAUACACUUUCCAGAGGGGAUGGGAGUCUGCAUUCACAAGGGUUUCUUCUUACAGCUUGUGGAAUCCUCAGAAACAUGAGCUUUCAGCUCCUGUUCCCACCAAAGAAUUUCCUCUUUGGAAGGCUGCUAUACCCUUUCCUGGCAAUUCUGGUGUGA